GGAAACUGUCAAACUNGAGUGCAGAAGGGGAGAGUGGAAUUCCAUGUGUAGCGGUGAGAUGCGUAGAUAUAUGGAGGAACACCGGUGGCGAAAGCGGCUCUCUGGUCUGUAACUGACGCUGGGGCUCGAAAGCGUGGGGAGCGAACAGGAUUAGAUACCCUGGUAGUCCACGCCGUAAACGAUGAGUGCUAGGUGUUGGGUCCUUUCCGGGAUUCAGUGCCGCAGCUAACGCAUUAAGCACUCCGCCUGGGGAGUACGACCGCAAGGUUGAAACUCAAAGGAAUUGACGGGGGCCCGCACAAGCGGUGGAGCAUGUGGUUUAAUUCGAAGCAACGCGAAGAACCUUACCAGGUCUUGACAUCCCGAUGCUAUUUCUAGAGAUAGGAAGUUACUUCGGUACAUCGGUGACAGGUGGUGCAUGGUUGUCGUCAGCUCGUGUCGUGAGAUGUNNNNNNNNNNNNCGCAACGAGCGCAACCCCUAUUGUUAGUUGCCAUCAUUCAGUUGGGCACUCUAGCGAGACUGCCGGUAAUAAACCGGAGGAAGGUGGGGAUGACGUCAAAUCAUCAUGCCCCUUAUGACCUGGGCUACACACGUGCUACAAUGGCUGGUACAACGAGUCGCAAGUCGGUGACGGCAAGCUAAUCUCUUAAAGCCAGUCUCAGUUCGGAUUGUAGGCUGCAACUCGCCUACAUGAAGUCGGAAUCGCUAGUAAUCGCGGAUCAGCACGCCGCGGUGAAUACGUUCCCGGGCCU
rnacentral:rRNA from 1 species